GAUGAACGCUGGCGGCGUGCUUAACACAUGCAAGUCGAACGGGAAACCUUUUAUUGAAGCUUCGGCAGAUUUAGCUGGUUUCUAGUGGCGGACGGGUGAGUAACGCGUGGGUAACCUGCCUUAUACAGGGGGAUAACAGUCAGAAAUGACUGCUAAUACCGCAUAAGCGCACAGAGCUGCAUGGCUCGGUGCGAAAAACUCCGGUGGUAUAAGAUGGACCCGCGUUGGAUUAGCUAGUUGGUGAGGUAACGGCCCACCAAGGCGACGAUCCAUAGCCGGCCUGAGAGGGUGAACGGCCACAUUGGGACUGAGACACGGCCCAGACUCCUACGGGAGGCAGCAGUGGGGAAUAUUGCACAAUGGGGGAAACCCUGAUGCAGCGACGCCGCGUGAAGGAAGAAGUAUCUCGGUAUGUAAACUUCUAUCAGCAGGGAAGAAAAUGACGGUA
rnacentral:rRNA from 1 species